GAUAGGAGCGUAAAACUCUCUUCGUUCCGUUGCAGUAGAAAACAAGUCCACAGCCUCCACACGGUGGACGGUCUGGGCUCUGAGACCAUGAAGGAUUACGAAGAAUCCGUCGCUUUUCUGGGCCAGUGGGGACGUUUCCAGCAGGUCGUCUUCUUCCUGCUCUGUUCCAGCAUUCUUCCCAAUGGAUUCACUUUCUCUGUUGUCUUCUUGACUGACGCUCCCCGUCACCACUGCCUGGUUCCUGAAGUCAACUUGACCCAAGACUGGCACAAUGCCAGCAUCCCGAUUGAGGUGGUGAAUGGGAACCAGCAGCUGAGCAGGUGCAGCAGGUUCAGGCUGGACGUGGUCAGAAAUCUCUCCGCUCAGGGAUUGGUUCCUGGCCGGGACGUCAACCUGACGGACCUGGAGCAGGAGGGCUGUGUGGACGGGUGGAGCUACAGCAGAGACGUCUACCAGUCCACCAUCGUCUCGGAGUUUGACCUGGUGUGUGGAGAGCAGUGGAAGCAGCCGUUCACCACAACAGUUUUCUUUCUGGGGGUUCUGGUUGGAUCCUUCUUCUCAGGACAGUUCUCAGACAGGUUUGGAAGAAAGCCUGUUUUUUUUUGCACAAUGGCACUUCAGACCAUUUUUUCUUUUUUUCAAAUCUUUUCGACUUCAUGGAUUGUGUUCACCAUCCUCGGCUUCAUCAGUGGAAUUGGACAGAUCUCCAACUAUGUGUCUGCUUUUGUGCUGGGCAAUGAGAUCUUGACUGGUAAUGUACGGGUCCUGUUCUCUUCUCUGGGGGUGUGUCUGGGGUAUGCCUUUGGCUACAUGAUGCUGCCUCUUUUGGCUUACUUCUUCAGGGGCUGGAAGUCUCUCCUGCUGGCUAUCUCUCUGCCUGGCCUGCUCUACAUACCGCUCUGGUGGUUCAUCCCAGAAUCUCCUCGUUGGUUGCUCUCUCAGGGAAGAGUGGAGGAGGCUGAGAACAUUGUGAGAAAAGCUGCCAAAUGGAACAAAGUCGAUGCUCCACUGGUCAUCUUUGAGGACUACGGCGUACAUGUUGAUGAGACAAAGACGAACCCGAAGGAACAGCACAAUGUCUUCAACCUGGUGAAGACAAAAAACAUCAGAAACACGACGGUCAUUCUGUGCCUGCUGUGGUUCAGCUUCAGUAUAGGAUACUUUGGCCUGUCCCUGAACACAUCCCAACUUCAUGCUAACCCCUACAUCAGCUGCUUCCUCUCAGCAGCUGUAGAGGUACCAGCAUACACUUCCAGCUGGCUGGCGCUGCGAUACUUCCCACGACGGCUUUCUGUUGUUUCUACUUUGCUCGUUGGAGGAUUGUCGCUGUAUUUCCUUCAACUGGUGCCUGAAAGUCAUCUCUCCCGGGCACCUCGGUAUCGCUUCUGAUGGCUUUACCACGCCACGUGCCGGAAUGAAGAGGAUAUACGUCCAGGAGGAAACAAAUUAUGCGAGCGAAAACAGCAGAACGGGCGGAGAGGAUCGAGUUCAGGGAGACGACGAUGCAGGCGAUACAAAUGCCAACCGAAUGGCAGCUCACGCUAAACAGUCGUGCCAAUAACCAGCAUAACGGGUCCCCACACAUCGCGCCGCUACAGCCGGAGCCAACAGAGCCAGCCAUGGUCUUGCUACUACGCCUACUACCAUUACAUGCUACCACAUCUACCGGCAUCGCAUCUAAAGUCUCAAACAUCAGGUUCGCCCAUGCACAUACUGGUGGUGGCGCUCAAACUGCGGCUAUCAAAGCCACCGCUGACCAUUAGCCAGUACGGCAUCCACAUUGCAGUAGGACAUUGCCAGCUAAAAGUGCAGCCUAGUCAUCUGGUGCCUGUUCAUGUUCAACUCAUUCAUGGUAAAACGCAGAUUCUAAUCACUCAACUUCAAAGUUCCGUCAUGCUUUACGUUAUGCUUCAUCUCUUAGCAGCUCAUGUCAUCAUUCACCACCAGCCCAUCCCGGAUCAGUGAGUAAACAUUCUUUUGGGGGAGAUUGUAAGUCGCGGUCUACCUUCUUUUGGGGAUCUAUCUCGUUGCUGAUCAGGGCAGUCAGCCCUCAACUACAAAUCUCCCCGUAGAGUCCAAGCGCCAAAGACUCUGAGACUUCACCAUUGCGCAUCACAUGUGAAACAAUAAACAUCCUUUAUUAACACUGUUCAAGGUCUUACCUGAUUUAACUAGUAAAGGCUGGAGAGAAUGACGGGCAGGAUCACGGUCCAGCUGUACUUGCAAUCCAUGGAAACCUGUGGAGAGAGAAAUCACACGAACGGAAUCGGGCGAAGUUGGUUUAUCAGAACUGGCUGUUGCUCUGGAGAUGCUGGGUAAAUUUGCCAUGACCGCCGGUGCAGCCCUGAUGUAUGCCUACACUGCAG